rnacentral:rRNA from 1 species
CCUACGGGUGGCUGCAGUCGAGAAUCAUUCACAAUGGGGGAAACCCUGAUGGUGCGACGCCGCGUGGGGGAAUGAAGGUCUUCGGAUUGUAAACCCCUGUCAUGUGGGAGCAAAUUAAAAAGAUAGUACCACAAGAGGAAGAGACGGCUAACUCUGUGCCAGCAGCCGCGGUAAUACAGAGGUCUCAAGCGUUGUUCGGAAGCACUGGGCGUAAAGCGUGCGUAGGCUGUUUCGUAAGUCGUGUGUGAAUGGCGGGGGCUCAACCGGCGGACGGCACAUGAUACUGGGGGACUAGAGUACUGGCGGGGGAACCGGAAUUCUCGGUGUAGCAGUGAAAUGCGUAGAUAUCGAGAGGAACACUCGUGGCGAAGGCGAGUGCCUGGACAUUAACUGACGCUGAGGCACGAAGGCCAGGGGAGCGAAAGGGAUUAGAUACCCGUGUAGUC